ACGGGAGGCAGCAGUGAGGAAUAUUGGUCAAUGGGCGGAAGCCUGAACCAGCCAUGCCGCGUGCAGGAAUAAGGCCCUAUGGGUCGUAAACUGCUUUUGCCUGGGAGCAAUAAGGUCUACGUGUAGGCCGAUGAGAGUACCAGGCGAAUAAGCAUCGGCUAACUCCGUGCCAGCAGCCGCGGUAAUACGGAGGAUGCGAGCGUUAUCCGGAUUUAUUGGGUUUAAAGGGUGCGUAGGCGGGAUGUUAAGUCAGCGGUGAAAGUUUGCGGCUCAACCGUAAAAUUGCCGUUGAAACUGGCGUUCUUGAGUGUAAACGAGGUAGGCGGAAUGUGACGUGUAGCGGUGAAAUGCUUAGAUAUGUCACAGAACCCCGAUUGCGAAGGCAGCUUACCAGCAUACAACUGACGCUGAGGCACGAAAGCGUGGGUAUCAAACAGGAUUAGAUACCCUGGUA
rnacentral:rRNA from 1 species